AUGAACGCUGGCGGCGUGCCUAAUACCUGCCAGUCGAGCGAACAGACGAGGAGCUUGCUCCUCUGACGUUAGCGGCGGACGGGUGAGUAACACGUGGAUAACCUACCUAUAAGACUGGGAUAACUUCGGGAAACCGGAGCUAAUACCGGAUAAUAUAUUGAACCGCAUGGUUCAAUAGUGAAAGACGGUUUUGCUGUCACUUAUAGAUGGAUCCGCGCCGCAUUAGCUAGUUGGUAAGGUAACGGCUUACCAAGGCAACGAUGCGUAGCCGACCUGAGAGGUUGAUCGGCCCACUUGGACCUGAGCCCCGGCCCAGCCUCCUACGGGGGGCAGCAGUGGGGAAUCUUCCGCAAGGGGCGAAAGCCUGACGGGGCAACGCCGCGUGGGUGAUGAAGGUCUUCGGUUCGUAAAACUCUUUUAUUAGGGAAGAAAAAAUUUGUAAGUAACUAUGCCCGUCUUGACGGUACCUAAUCAGAAAGCCCCGGCUAACUACGU
rnacentral:rRNA from 1 species